rnacentral:rRNA from 1 species
GACGAACGCUGGCGGCGUGCCUAAUACAUGCAAGUAGAACGCUGAAGGAGGAGCUUGCUUCUCUGGAUGAGUUGCGAACGGGUGAGUAACGCGUAGGUAACCUGCCUGGUAGCGGGGGAUAACUAUUGGAAACGAUAGCUAAUACCGCAUAAUAGUAGAUGUUGCAUGACAUUUGCUUAAAAGGUGCAAUUGCAUCACUACCAGAUGGACCUGCGUUGUAUUAGCUAGUUGGUGGGGUAACAGCUCACCAAGGCGACGAUACAUAGCCGACCUGAGAGGGUGAUCGGCCACACUGGGACUGAGACACGGCCCAGACUCCUACGGGAGGCAGCAGUAGGGAAUCUUCGGCAAUGGACGGAAGUCUGACCGAGCAACGCCGCGUGAGUGAAGAAGGUUUUCGGAUCGUAAAGCUCUGUUGUAAGAGAAGAACGAGUGUGAGAGUGGAAAGUUCACACUGUGACGGUAUCUGACCAGAAAGGGACGGCUAACUACGUG